rnacentral:misc_RNA from 1 species
AAGUCGUAACAAGGUUUCCGUAGGUGAACCUGCGGAAGGAUCAUUACAAAUCUUUGGAGGCUAGUCGCCUAGUGCGCUAGUCUCACAUUAGCACAAGGUCGCAAGGCCUUGAUGUUUACGCUUGUUUGUUUGACAGAGUUAGUUGAGAAAAAAUAAAGACAACUUUUAACAAUGGAUCUCUUGGCUCUU